rnacentral:rRNA from 1 species
UUUGGGUUAAGUCCCGCAACGAGCGCAACCCUCGUCCUAUGUUGCCAGCGGGUCAUGCCGGGGUACUCAUGGGAGACUGCCGGGGUCAACUCGGAGGAAGGUGGGAUGACGUCAAUCAUCAUGCCCCUUAUGUCUUGGGCUUCACGCAUGCUACAAUGGCCGGUACAAAGGGCUGCGAUACCGCGAGGUGGAGCGAAAUCCCAGAAAGCCGGUCUCAGUUCGGAUUGGGUCUGCAACUCGACCCCAUGAAGUCGGAGUCGCUAGUAAUCGCAGAUCAGCAACGCUGCGGUGAAUACGUUCCCGGGCCUU